GCUGCAAGUCUUUAUAUCCUCCAGAGUCCUCUCUACUGGACAUUUCGUUCACAUGCAUCUCCUUUCAUUCUUUUGAGCUACUCUAUCAAUCCCUGUAAAGAGAACAUCCUGUGUUUUCCAUGUGCUAGGCUAGGAUGCUGGAAACUUGUUCUUCCUUUUCAUCAAAAAUGGACGGAAGCACAUUUUACCUCGGUUCCUAGUAGGAUAUAUUUUUGUUUAUUAGAAUGCAGAAAUUUAUGGUAUAUUACCCAGCUGUUGCAGAACUAUAACUCUUUGAAGCUUUGGAAACUGAAAAGUUGGAAAAUGAAAAGUUGGAAAAGCAUCACUGGAGUUGUAGGUCUACAGUAGAUGGGGAGCUCCUUUUUUGCAACUCCUGUUGGAAUAACAGCACAAAAGAGGUUAUGUCUUGUGAAAGUUAAGUGGUGAAAUUUAUUUUUUCCAUUUGACAAUUUUUAUUGAUUUCCAAGUUUUUUGGGGUACAGAAAUGAAAAGGGGACUCGUUAAUGUGGAACACGUGUUACAAUCGUCAAGUACAACCCACAUGUUACUUCUCGACACAUGGGGUUUUUAAUUAUACAUCAUACCAUAAAUUAUGUCAUUACUCGACUGUCCCUUCCCUGUCUCCUAGUCUACGCAUCUAGCCUGGCCUUGCCUUUGUACGGUACAACCUUGUCUAUCUGGAGCCCUCUGCAGUAGUGGGAGCUAGCAGCUACCCCAUCAUGUCUCCCCUCCCCGAAGUUGCUGUGUAUCUGUUCAUCUGUAUGCUUGUACUGUGAGCCUAGUAGCUAGGAUCAGGGUAGUAAUGUGGUCGUCAUGCUUCAGCCAUCACUGCUGUCCACCUGAUGUAUGCAUGUGUGUGUGCUACGGAGCUGACUUCUCAGGAGCAACAUCUUUUGUUGGUUUUUGUGCUAGAGCAUGCCUCAGGUGAGUGGUCCGCUGUGGCUUAGGUCCGGUCCCCUUGUACACAGAGCCCCCUGUGUCCCUAUCGACUCUGGUUUGGUACUAAGAUGUCAUAGUUAAAGAACCCAUAGAGAGAGUAGUAAGGAACAAGAAAAAUAGGGGAUAAUAGAACAAGGGGAAAAUAAAGCAAAGGUAAAGCCAGGUACGUGUGCGACUUGCCUACAACCCAGGCGUGUGUAGGUGGGGUAUGUACCCCCAUGCCUACUUGUCUGUAAGAUUAUAUAUAUGUUGCAUCAGCGCUGAUAGAUAUGUGGUAGAGAUGCAUGUGAGUCCGGAUUUCUAGAUAGUCUGGAUGUGGGUAGGGUAUUCAAUAUAUGGGGCGGUAAGAGUGCAGGUUUUCGUUGACACUGUAGUUAAGUGGCAGUUGUGUUACAACGUUGUAUCUUUCCCUUGCCUGGGAUCUGGGGGCCCUCGAUGCUCCACAGUCCUCAGGGAGGACUAUCAAUUCCCGGGUUUCCACAGCUCCCCUGCCAGUCUUGUGGCCACGUCCGACCUAAUUUGUGCUUUUAUAAUACAAAUACUGAGUUACAGCGAGUGAUUCCGAUAAAAACCAAAUACUAACAACACCAAUGUGGUAACCCCUCAAGCCACAUGAAAGUCAAAGCACAUACAUACAUACAGGUUAGGUGGAGUAUCUUGGUAUAUGGUGAAAUGGCAUAUAAUGCACAAUAAAAGCUGUAAAAACAAAGAGAACGAAAUCUAGUGCAAUAUUGUAGAACACAAAAGUGACUUGGAGUAUAAUUUGUAGUUGGUACUCACAAACCAAGAGCCAAAGGGAACUGGCUCAAUUCAGACGCCUGUGGGAUAGUUGUAAGGGUUCCCACUCCCUUUCUGUAUAGUAGCUGUUUCUAUAUUUCUUGUUGCAGCUGGGAAGAAGGGACCAUAUUCAUUCAGGUAGAGAAAAACUCUUCUUUAAUAAAAAUGCAUAAAAAUACAACUGUACUUAGAUAAAAAACAAAUAGAAAUUAAAAAAUAUGGAUAAAAGAGACACAAAGUCUUUAUAUAAAAUAGUCCAAAAAACUCCACUCUGUGAGAUCAAGCAAGACGCGUUUCGCCCAAAAAUUGUGCUUCCUCAGUUGCUCCUAGGGGUGUCCAAAUGCCACACAUUGUUUUAUACCUUCUUAUGAUGGGGGAAUACCUAACAUCUGUUCCGUCCUUCGUUUCUUCCGGGUUCCGUCGUCAUUUCCGGUUGACGGAUAUCCGGUUUCCAUUGCAUUCGGAGUACCAGCAUAUUUCAGGUUCCUUCGAGAAUGGAAC